rnacentral:rRNA from 1 species
GACGAACGCUGGCGGCGUGCCUAAUACAUGCAAGUCGAACGCAGUGGGUACGGGUGAGUAACACGUGGGUAACCUCCCAUCAGAGGGGAUAACACUUGGAAACAGGUGCUAAACCGAUACUGAUGGAUGGACCCGCGGUGCAUUAGCUAGUUGGUGAGGUAACGGCGCACCAAGGCCACGAUGCAUAGCGGGCCUGAGAGGGGGAGCGGCCACACUGGGACUGAGAAACGGCCCAGACUCCUACGGGAGGCAGCAGUGGGGAAUCUUGGACAAUGGACGAAAGUCUGACGGAGCAACGCCGCGGGAGUGAAGAAGGUUUGCGGAUCGUAAAACUCUGUUGUGAGAGAAGCGGUAUCUAACCAGAAAGCCACGGCUAACUACGUGCCAGCAGCCGCGGUAAUUC